rnacentral:rRNA from 1 species
CCCUUAGAUGUUCUGGGCCGCACGCGCGCUACACUGAUGCAUUCAACAAGCCUAGCCUUGACCGAGAGGUCCGGGUAAUCUUUGAAACUGCAUCGUGAUGGGGCUAGAUUAUUGCAAUUAUUAAUCUUCAACGAGGAAUGCCUAGUAAGCGUGAUUCAUCAAAUCGCGUUGAUUACGUCCCUGCCCUUUGUACACACCGCCCGUCGCUCCUACCGAUUGAUUGAUCCGGUGAAUUACAUAGAAUUUUGCGUUUUACAUGACGGAAGAUGAAGUGUUUUAAACCUUAUCAUUUAGAGGAAGGAGAAGUCGUAACA